rnacentral:sRNA from 1 species
UCCCCACAGAGGCAGGGGCGGUGAGGACCUUCAUGGCAGGGAAAGUGGGUGAACAGAGGUGCAACCUGAUGUGGAUAGCCUGGAGUCCAGCCCGGGGGGUGCUCAGCAAUGGGGGCGCCUGCAGCUCUCCCUGGAGUACGACUUUGGAAGCCAGGAGGUAAAGGGCCCCACUGCGCAGGACCAGCGAUUCUGCGAGUUUCCAGAAAGGGUGAUGGGGGAAGGGCAGACCCUGUGCCCUGGGUAGUGGGGAGCUGACAGGGCAGGGGCCCUUGGCUGAGCCCACCCCCCUGGCUGAGCCCACCCCCCUGGCUCCCAGAUCAGGGUGGGCCUGAGGCAGGCAGCCGACCUGGGGCCUGGGGGCACCGUGGACCCCUAUGCCCGGGUCAGCAUCUCCACCCAGGCCGGACACAGACAUGAGACAAAAGUGCACCGAGGCACGCUCUGCCCCGUGUUUGACGAGACCUGCUGCUUCCACGUGAGUCAGGGAUGGUCGGCUGGGUGGGCCUGGACGGCUGGUUGGGCCUGGGCUGGGUGGGCCUGGGCAGCUGGGUGGGCCUGAGCUAGGGCAACAGGGCCUGGCUCACACAGCUG